AACACAUUACCAUCCCUAACGAAUCCUCUUCGCGGUAUUCUCUCUCUUUUCCUAUGUGUGCACAACACCUCACUUUGCCGCACAACCCAACACCGUUGCCACUGAUACCUCCGUUCCGUUGCGCACUUUCCGUAGAGUAACUUCCACACCCUCAUACACUGGGUUAUGAGAGCUGGAAAUGGAUUUGGUGGUAUUAGAGUUUGUGUAGCAAGUGUUUGAAGUGGUUGAAGCAAUGGACUUGGUGGUACCACAUAUAUAGUUUUAUUCAUAUUAGCACUUCCUAUGAGAAAGAUAUAGCUCUGGUUCUGCAUUCAAUUUGGUGAGAGUAUAACUAUGGCCUGCAAAUUUCAGUUAUUUGGUCUGUCUGAUGGGGUUAUUGACUUUAGAAAACCUAAUGAGACUUGGAAUAGAAAGCAUUUGGGCUUUAGCGUGUUUGUUUGUUCAAAACAUGGAAGUUCUGGUUUGAAAAGUAGUCUGCAAUAUUCUGAAAGAUUCUCUAAAUGUGCUUUAAAUGGGGUGGAGUCCUCAGCAAGGGUCAAUAAUUCCCUGAAUUUUGAGGAGUCAGAGAUCCGUCAUCUCCAUAGGUUAAUUAGAAAUGGGGAAUUGGAGGAAAGUUCUAAGUUUCUUGAGUAUAUGACUAAUAAGGGUAAUAUCCCCGAUGUUAUUGCUUGCACUGCUUUAAUCCGUGGGUUUUGCAAGAUUGGCAGGCCUAAGAAUGCAACUCGAAUCAUGGGAGUUCUGGAGGUUUCUGGAGCUGUUAUUGAUGUAACCUGUUACAAUGUUUUGAUCAGUAGUUAUUGCAAAUUAGGGGACACAGAAGAAGCCUUGCGGAUUCUGGAUCGCAUGAGUGUUGCUCCAAAUGCUGCUACAUAUGAUGCAAUUUUGUGUAGUUUGUGUGAUAGAGGGAAAUUGAAGCAAGCCAUGCAAGUACUUGACAGGCAGGUGCAAAGCAGGUGUUACCCAGAUAUAGUUACGUGCACUGUACUGAUUGAUGCAGCUUGUAAAGAAAAUGGAGUUGGUCAGGCAAUGAAACUGUUCAAUGACAUGAGGAGAAAAGGAUGCAAACCUGAUGUGAUUACAUAUAAUGUUCUUAUAAAAGGGAUUUGCCAUGAAGGUAGGUUGGAUGAAGCAAUUAGAUUUUUAAACAAAUUGCCAUCCUAUGGUUGUCAGCCUGAUGUGAUCUCCCAUAAUAUUGUCUUGCGUAGCUUGUGUAGCGUUGGAAGAUGGAUGGAUGCUAUGAAACUAAUGGCUAACAUGCUUCGUAAAGGGUGUUUCCCCAGUGUUGUUACUUUCAAUAUCCUGAUCAAUUUCCUGUGCCAAAAAGGCUUACUAGAUAAAGCCCUUAAUAUCUUGGAGAUGAUGCCAAAGCAUGGUCAUACUCCUAAUUCGAGAAGUUACAAUCCAUUGAUUCAAAGGUUUUGUAAUGAAAAAGGCAUUGAUAGAGCAAUUGAGUACUUGGAAAUAAUGGUAUCUAGGGGUUGUUACCCAGAUAUAGUGACCUAUAAUAUUUUGCUAACUGCACUAUGCAAAGAUGGGAAGGCGGAUGAUGCAGUUGAGAUACUGAGGCACCUAUGUUCCAAAGGGUGCUCUCCUUCUCUAGUCACAUACAAUACAGUGAUUGAUGGGCUUUUGAAGGUUGGAAAAACAGAGCGUGCCGUGGAACUCUUCGAAGAGAUGAACAGAAUAGGUCUGAAACCUGAUAUUAUUACUUACAAUAUAAUCAUUGACGGGCUUCUAAAGAUGGGGAAAGCCAAACUUGCUGUAGAGCUUUUGGAAGAGAUGUGCAGUAAGGGUCUUAAGCCUGAUCCAAUUACUUGCACUUCAGUAGUAGGAGGCCUAAGUCGUGAAGGAAAGGUUCAUGAAGCUAUAAAUUUUUUCCAUUACAUGAAAAGCUUUGGAAUUAGACCAAAAGUAUUCAUUUACAAUUCAAUAAUGAUGGGAUUAUGUAAAGCUCAUCAAACUAGUCGGGCAAUAGAUUUUCUGGCUGAUAUGGUGACAAAAGGAUGUAAACCUACAGAGGCUACAUAUUCUAUUCUUGUAGAAGGCAUUAUAUAUGAAGGAUUGGCUGAGGAAGCUUCGGAGUUAUUGGAUGAAUUGCACUCCAGAGGACUUGUCAAGAAAAGUUUGGUUGAAAAAGUAAGAGUCGAGAUUUAGAAGAAAACAGAUUGGUUCAGCUUGUCUACAUGGUUUGGUUGAUUCCCAUUCAGUUCUAUCAAGAAUCAAAAUUUCAAUAAAACCAUUUGUGCAUAUUCCUUUAAAGCUGUUGAUUCCCAUUCAGUUCUAUCAACAACGCAAUUUUACAUUACAAUAUUAUGGCCUUUCCUAGUUAUGCACUUAGAUUUUGUUGUCCCCUUAUUUUUAGUGAGCACUGUUCAUUUGGUGCAGAUUAUAGAUUUUAACUUUGAGUGACGGGACGCAUGAUGUUAAAUUCCAAGUCAAUUUUUAUAAUAAUAGGAACUUCUUGGUUAGCAAAUACAAAAGUGUAUUAUUCAAGAGAAGAGAAGAGAAGAGACAUGUAUUUACGAGGGAAGGAAAUCUGCAAAUACAAUUACAGGCCAUGCCUUGCAUGCGCGCGUUAAUGUAUCUUGUUCCUUGAUUUUUAUCUUUCUCCUCUAGCAGACAAGUAGUACCAAACAUUUGAGAUGGAGGCUAGUUCUUGUCCUUUUUUGUUGUUUGCAGUUGAAGAAUAAUAUUGCAUUGAGAAUUGAGUCAGUUUGAAAAAUUCCUGCUCAUUUUCCCUCAU